rnacentral:rRNA from 1 species
GAUGAACGCUGGCGGCGUGCCUAAUACAUGCAAGUCGAGCGAACAGACGAGGAGCUUGCUCCUCUGACGUUAGCGGCGGACGGGUGAGUAAAACGUGGAUAACCUACCUAUAAGACUGGGAUAACUUCGGGAAACCGGAGCUAAUACCGGAUAAUAUAUUGAACCGCAUGGUUCAAUAGUGAAAGACGGUUUUGCUGUCACUUAUAGAUGGAUCCGCGCCGCAUUAGCUAGUUGGUAAGGUAACGGCUUACCAAGGCAACGAUGCGUAGCAGACCUGAGAGGGUGAUCGGCCACACUGGAACUGAGACACGGUCCAGACUCCUACGGGAGGCAGCAGUAGGGAAUCUGCCGCAAUGGGCGAAAGCCUGACGGAGCAACGCCGCGUGAGUGACGAAGGUCUUCGGAUCUUAAAACGCUGUUAUUAGGGAAGAACAAAUGUGUAAGUAACUAUGCACGUCUUGACGGUACCUAAUCAGAAAGCCACGGCUAACUACGCG